GAAAAGUUAGGACUUUGCUUAGGAAAUUUUUGUACUUUAUAGGAAAUAUGUUCAGCAUAAGGAGCAACUGGAUGAUAAUGAAAAGGAUUAGACUUGUAAUAUAGAAGAUUCAAGAAGAGAUGGUUAUGAUAUUGUCAUUGAAGUUCUCUGCUCAUGACAAUCGUUCUGCUCCUUUACAAUUUGAAUGCCAUAUCUGCAGGUUAUAUGAAGAUACAUAGUGUUUUGGCUGCCAACAGGAACGAUAUUUGGGAAGCUUCAACUAAUCUUUUUUAUCAAAUUGGCUUAUGAGUAUUCUUGCUGUGUGGAGCCUAUUUCUUCAUAUAAUCAGCAAGUCAUGUAAGUGUUAGGUGAACUUAAUAGUUUGCAAUCCAGUCAAUUCAAUUAUUUGUAUGCCGAAAACACCUGUGAGAUGUAUUUUGUCCACUUCUUCAAGAUAAAUCUUGAAACAACUCAUUUUAAAUUUUAGUAGCAAGAAAUAAUUUUUAUAUUUAUAAUUUAUCUA